rnacentral:rRNA from 1 species
AUUGAACGCUGGCGGCAGGCCUAACACAUGCAAGUCGAGCGAGCGGCAGACGGGUGAGGAAUGCGUGGGAAUCGCGCAGUCGGGGGGGAUCACAGUUGAAAGCGAGUGCACACACCACAUACGCAUGGAUCGCACAGGGGGGAUUAGCUAGUUGGUGAGGUAAUGGCUCACCAAGGCGACGACCCCUAGCUGGUCUGAGGGGAUGAGCAGCCACACUGGAACUGAGACACGGUCCAGACUCCUACGGGAGGCAGCAGUGGGGAAUAUUGCACAAUGGGGGAAAGCCUGAUGCAGCCAUGCCGCGUGUGUGAAGAAGGCCUUCGGGUUGUAAAGCACUUUCAGCGAGGAGGCGUUACUCGCAGAAGAAGCACCGGCUAACUCCGUGCCAGCAGCCGCGGUAAUAC